rnacentral:rRNA from 1 species
GAUGAACGCUGGCGGCGUGCCUAAUACAUGCAAGUCGAGCGAACAGAUGAGGAGCUUGCUCCUCUGACGUUAGCGGCGGACGGGUGAGUAACACGUGGAUAACCUACCUAUAAGACUGGGAUAACUUCGGGAAACCGGAGCUAAUACCGGAUAAUAUAUUGAACCGCAUGGUUCAAUAGUGAAAGACGGUUUUGCUGUCACUUAUAGAUGGAUCCGCGCUGCAUUAGCUAGUUGGUAAGGUAACGGCUUACCAAGGCAACGAUGCGUAGCCGACCUGAGAGGGUGAUCGGCCCCACGGGAACUGAGACACGGUCCAGACUCCUACGGGAGGCAGCAGUAGGGAAUCUUCCGCAAUGGGCGAAAGCCUGACGGAGCAACGCCGCGUGAGUGAUGAAGAUCUUCGGAUCGUAAAACUCUGUUAUUAGGGAAGAACAAAUGUGUAAGUAACUAUGCACGUCUUGACGGUACCUAAUCAGAAAGCCACGGCUAACUACGUG